ACCAGUAUAACAUAGCUGAGCUGGUAGAGCACGAGACUCUUACUCUCACGCUCAUGGGUUCGAAUCCCAUGCCGGGC